rnacentral:rRNA from 1 species
GACGAACGCUGGCGGCGUGCCUAAUACAUGCAAGUCGUGCGGACCUUGUUGAAAGCUUGCUUUUAAAAGGUUAGCGGCGGACGGGUGAGUAACACGUGGGCAACCUGCCUGUAAGACUGGGAUAACGCCGGGAAACCGGGGCUAAUACCAGAUCGUUUUUUCCUCCGCAUGGAGGAAAAAGGAAAGGCGGCUUCGGCUGCCACUUACAGAUGGGCCCGCGGCGCAUUAGCCAGUUGGCGGGGUAAUGGCCCACCAAGGCAACGAUGCGUAGCCGACCUGAGAGGGUGAUCGGCCACAUUGGGACUGAGACACGGCCCAAACUCCUACGGGAGGCAGCAGUAGGGAAUCUUCCGCAAUGGACGAAAGUCUGACGGAGCAACGCCGCGUGAGUGAAGAAGGCCUUCGGGUCGUAAAACUCUGUUGCCGGGGAAGAACAAGUGCCGUUCGAACAGGGCGGCGCCUUGACGGUACCCGGCCAGAAAGCCACGGCUAACUACGUG